rnacentral:rRNA from 1 species
AUACGAGGGGGUGCAAGCGUUAAUCGGAAUUACUGGGCGUAAAGCGUGCGUAGGCGGUUUGUUAAGUCAGAUGUGAAAGCCCCGGGCUCAACCUGGGAACUGCAUUUGAUACUGGCAGGCUAGAGUACGGUAGAGGGUGGUGGAAUUCCCGGUGUAGCGGUGAAAUGCGUAGAGAUCGGGAGGAACAUCCGUGGCGAAGGCGGCCACCUGGACCAGUACUGACGCUGAGGCACGAAAGCGUGGGGAGC